UCUCCCGCUGGGAUGCAGGAGAAUUCCGUGUCCUGUUUUGACAGCACUGACAUUUGCUGGCCUCAUUCGAGGUGACCUCUGGCCUCUCUUGGUUUCCCCCUCCUGCGCUCGGCCUGGCUUCGUCUUUCUCAUCCUGAUGAUGCUGCCUUGGACUCUUUCUUUGAAACUUUUGGGGACAUCAACAUGGGUUUUUACUUGAGAAAACUCAGAGGAAAAGGAUCUGGAGAAACAGCUCAGUAAAGGACUUGUAUGUAAGAAGGAAGACCUGAGCCAUCCCCAGAACCCCCUUAAAAACCAGGUGUGGUGACAUGCACCUGUCAACCUUGCACCAAGAAGGUAAAGUAGGUAGAUCCUUGGGCUCGCCAGCUAGCCAGCCUGAUCUAACUGGUAAGCCCCAGACCACUGAGGGAUCCUGUCUCAAAAACACAGACCUCAAGACCCUGAAGCAACAAGAUUCCCUUGGGUCUGGUCCCAGCCUGCUGACACGGAGAAGCCUCACCUGUAUCGCACACUAGAUCAUCAGCUCAGGAAUGUGGCUCUUCUCUACAGAAAAGCAAUGGCACUGAAACAGCGUGGACCCAUCCAUCAUCAUGUUCUCCUUAUGAAAAUGGCUUCCAGUGGUCAGCUUCCAGUCAUAACUAAUUAGUCUUCCGACGAAUGAGCAGUCAGAAGCAAAGCAACUCUGAGGGCUUCAACACCUUCCGCAGUGAAGUUGAGAGAGAGGCUACUCCCUCAUCAGCGACCUGGGUGAGCCUGGCCAGAACUCUCAGCUCUGCACAAAAAUUCCUAGAGAGCCUGUCUGCCAGCUCUUGGUCCUUACAGUUCUAGCAGCACCGACCCACCCGCCCUGUGCUCCUCUUCUA